UGGUGCAGAUUUUGCUUGUGUGGUGAAGAUGAUGUUUCCAAUAAUUGAACAGUGAAAGGGAAGGGGUUCACGGGCAAGCUAAGUGUAUUUUUUUAUUAGACUAAUUAGUUUUUUUUUAUAAAACUUGACUUUUUUCUUGAUAUUGAUCCAAAGUAGUAAAAAUGGUAGAUGUUGUAGGUGGGGCAAGUGGCAAGUGAGAGAUACAGGGUGUACCCAAUUGAUCACAGAAAGAGUUCACGGGUCCUUCAGCUUCUUCUAUGACAAUGAAUUAGAUAUUCGAAUCCAGACAAACUUUCUUGAACAAAUAAAUAAAAAAGUGGAAAAGUUCUUGCGACAAUCUAAAAAGCUUCAAAAGAGUUUCAUGUUGGAUUUCUGUUAAUGUUUAGAAGCUCCAUAAGUAAGUGGUCACAAUUUACAUACAGACCAAAUUAAGAGAAACCAGUAACAGAAUAAAAAUAAUGUUGUCUGGUGAUGAACCAACCACACAACUUCAUCUUACUCAUAAUUUGUUUCAAAGAUUUUUCUGGUAAUAACAUUCAACAUUACAUGACCCCAAAUCUAAGGUGCAAUAACAAAAUUAUUUAUAUAUAGGAGAUAUGAUCACAUUACAUUCAACAAAUUCUUAUGGUUUUUGAGUGAUCACAUGACUCAAUCAAACUGCACAUAAGGGUUGGUUGGUUGGUCUUGGAGCAAUUUGAUUAGAAAAUGAUUUUUUUUUCUAGAUUUAAUAAUUUGACAGAUAAGAUGAUCUCAUGAUCGUGUACAUUUCUAGAGAAUACUUUUUAUCAGUAUGCUCAAAGAUAGAGUUGGAGAAAGCAGUGUUUGGCAGAAGAUAAUUGCAUGUAGUUAGUGCUUUGCUUGAACUUCAGGACAAAGAUGAAAAUCUAUGAGUUUAUCAAAUUACACAGUUAUGAGAGAUUUUGAUUCGUUGUGGAGAGUUAUGAAAUUUCAGCCACAAAUUUGAAGAGCCAAGGGUCCACCACUUUGGUAAUUGCCAGAUCGUAUUGUCCUUUCAUGCAAGUCCAA
rnacentral:lncRNA from 1 species